GUCAGCAUGGCAUAGUGGUUUGAGCAUUAGACUACAACUCUGGAGACCAGGGUUCGAUUCCCAGCUCAGUCA